rnacentral:rRNA from 1 species
AUUGAACGCUAGCGGGAUGCUUUACACAUGCAAGUCGAACGAGUGGCGGACGGGUGAGUAAUAUAUCGGAAAGUGCCCAGGAGCGGGGGAUAACUACUCGAAAGAGUGGCUUAUACAGCAUAAUAUUGGAACGGCCGAUAUCGGAUUGGCUAGUUGGUGGGGUAAAGGCGAACCAAGGCAACGAUCCGUAGCUGGUUUGAGAGGACGACCAGCCAUACGGUGACUGAGACACGGCCCCGACGCCUACGGGAGGCAGCAGUGGGGAAUUUUGGACAAUGGGUGAAACCCUGAUCCAGCCAUCCCGCGUGUAUGAGAAGGCCUUCGGGUUGUAAAGUACUUUUGGCAGAGAAGCGGUAUCUGCAGAAUAAGCACCGGCUAACUACGUGCCAGCAGCCGCGGUAAUUC